UGACAUGACUCUCAGGAAAUAAUCUUCUUUUUGUGUAUCUCGUAUUCAUAGUACAAGUUGUAACCAGAAUUCUACACCAACCAGCCGGGCAAAUAGCAUGUCAAUGGUGACAUCCAACCUCGCUAAAUUUCCCGCGUGACUUUCGGUUGCCGCCGCCACUUGGCAGAUCGCCGUCUUUUGCUUGAAUUCACUGAAUCCCUUAGGGAUUGACGUGUUCUGACUGGGCUGAAACUGCCACAUCGUGAUUAUUGCAGUCCGUGUGAUCGUUCCUCCUGAGCGACGACGAGCGUGUACGCAGGAAAGAGGAAACCAGGGUAUACAGGAUCGACAUAUCUGAAACCGACCGAUCGACACGAGAACUGCCACUGCCGACAGACUAACCAUGACACACCAUUUUUGUAUAACUUACGGAGGAGUACGAACGUACCUACGGUAGUAGCUACCGGCCAUGUCCGAUGAUAUAUUAGUAUCGAAAACGUGCGGCGUCGUAUCAGUUUCAGGGAUGACCUCCGGGAUAGCUUUCUAUCCGUUCUUGGCGGCUAAAUGGUCACAUCGGCCACCGUCCAAACUAGGGCGGACUCACUCAAUAUUUCCAAACGAGCUCUUGUAGUCCGAGGGGAAAAAAAUUAAUCGAAUUAAAGAAUAGGAUCCCUGUCGCAGCGUGGCCGCCUGGUGCAAUUUGUCUACUAUGUAUGCAAGAGUAUGGAGCCAAGCAGGUGGAGAGACUUGCUAAGUUAAAGUACCACAUGGCACAUCGAGUUAACUAAGACUAAGGAAUUAAUAUCUCCGAUGGCUGCUUGAUACCGAUAUGGAGUCCACAUUUGGAUUCAUCGGAUUGUUCGUGUUGAUAAGUACGAUACGAUGCUUGGGUAGCAUCUCGUUGAGUGACUAAGAUAGUUAACAUAACUAGCUAGCAAUAAGUUAGUUAACUACCUAACUAUUGAAGCAAGCGCCAUUGAACUAGAUGGCAUAAGAACCGCGAGUGCUACGAAGACAUAACUAGCAUCCAGUAUCCUGCCAUGUUGGUCGAUUGACGAUAUGCAGUCAGAGCAACUACUGCACAGUUGCAUAUAGUUAACUAUACAUCAACCCUACAGACCCGGCGUCGAUAAGGCUACAUCAAUGGCCCAUCCACACUCAGUCCAAUAGACUGGACUCGGUUUCAUUGAUACUAGCACGCCGGAGGUCAGUUGUAACCCGAGUGGAAUUUGACCGAGUCCAGUUGCUUUUUCUCGGCUCUAUUAUCAUGACGGCGAGCGACUUCGCCAACUCUAUACUCUGUAAGCCGAACUACAUCUCAAGCAUCAUGGCCCACCGUUGCUCUCGUUACCACGCCGUUGUUCUAACUACGUCAUGUACCCAUGUAGCUGUCAUACCUCAUGGAACCAAGGAUAUACAUGAGACAUUUCACGUGGUAAAAUAUGGGCCCAGGUUCUGCAUUACACGCACUCUAUUAGACUAUGGUUGACAUCCACAGUGUCCAUACUCCGUAGAUAAUAGUCUAUGUACUCCGCGGUCACAUGUUUACCCGCACAAUGGAGUACAUACCAUCUCGUUCCAAAUGAAUGAGCACAGCCUCAAGAAUGUCGGAACAUGUCGUGUGUCUGCUGCUCCAGGUAGUUAGGCUAGUCUCAUGCUGAACCAUGG
rnacentral:lncRNA from 1 species